GUGUUGUAUGAAAAGAGAGGUUAGCACUCCCCUUGAUAAGGAUGGAAGAGGUCCUAGUGGCCUUUACCACAAAAUACAGUUAAGGCAUCUAAUCAUUUUUUUAUAAAUUUAUUUAUUUUUUGUU
ensembl:snRNA